UACGUAGGGAGCAAGCGUUGUCCGGAAUCAUUGGGCGUAAAGCGCGCGUAGGCGGCCCUGUAAGUCCGUUGUGAAAGUCAAAGGCUCAACCUUUGAAAGCCGAUGGAUACUGCAGGGCUAGAGUCCGGAAGAGGCGAGUGGAAUUCCUGGUGUAGCGGUGGAAUGCGCAGAUAUCAGGAAGAACACCAAUGGCGAAGGCAGCUCUCUGGGACGGUACUGACGCUGAGACGCGAAAGCGUGGGGAGCGAACAGG
rnacentral:rRNA from 1 species